CUGGAGGUAUCAGAAGUGCGAAUGCUGACAUAAGUAACGAUAAAGCGGGUGAAAAGCCCGCUCGCCGGAAGACCAAGGGUUCCUGUCCAACGUUAAUCGGGGCAGGGUGAGUCGACCCCUAAGGCGAGGCCGAAAGGCGUAGUCGAUGGGAAACGGGUUAAUAUUCCCGUACUUGGUGUUACUGCGAAGGGGGGACGGAGAAGGCUAUGUUGGCCGGGCGACGGUUGUCCCGGUUUAAGCGUGUAGGUGUGUGUUCCAGGUAAAUCCGGUUCACUUUAACACUGAGGCGUGACGACGAGGCACUACGGUGCUGAAGCAACAAAUGCCCUGCUUCCAGGAAAAGCCUCUAAGCAUCAGGUAACAUCAAAUCGUACCCCAAACCGACACAGGUGGUCAGGUAGAGAAUACCAAGGCGCUUGAGAGAACUCGGGUGAAGGAACUAGGCAAAAUGGUGCCGUAACUUCGGGAGAAGGCACGCUGACACGUAGGUGAAGUGAUUUACUCAUGGAGCUGAAGUCAGUCGAAGAUACCAGCUGGCUGCAACUGUUUAUUAAAAACACAGCACUGUGCAAACAUGAAAGUGGACGUAUACGGUGUGACGCCUGCCCGGUGCCGGAAGGUUAAUUGAUGGGGUCAGCGCAAGCGAAGCUCCUGAUCGAAGCCCCGGUAAACGGCGGCCGUAACUAUAACGGUCCUAAGGUAGCGAAAUUCCUUGUCGGGUAAGUUCCGACCUGCACGAAUGGCGUAAUGAUGGCCAGGCUGUCUCCACCCGAGACUCAGUGAAAUUGAACUCGCUGUGAAGAUGCAGUGUACCCGCGGCAAGACGGAAAGACCCCGUGAACCUUUACUAUAGCUUGACACUGAACAUUGAGCCUUGAUGUGUAGGAUAGGUGGGAGGCUUUGAAGUGUGGACGCCAGUCUGCAUGGAGCCGACCUUGAAAUACCACCCUUUAAUGUUUGAUGUUCUAACGUGGACCCGUAAUCCGGGUUGCGGACAGUGUCUGGUGGGUAGUUUGACUGGGGCGGUCUCCUCCUAAAGAGUAACGGAGGAGCACGAAGGUUGGCUAAUCCUGGUCGGACAUCAGGAGGUUAGUGCAAUGGCAUAAGCCAGCUUGACUGCGAGCGUGACGGCGCGAGCAGGUGCGAAAGCAGGUCAUAGUGAUCCGGUGGUUCUGAAUGGAAGGGCCAUCGCUCAACGGAUAAAAGGUACUCCGGGGAUAACAGGCUGAUACCGCCCAAGAGUUCAUAUCGACGGCGGUGUUUGGCACCUCGAUGUCGGCUCAUCACAUCCUGGGGCUGAAGUAGGUCCCAAGGGUAUGGCUGUUCGCCAUUUAAAGUGGUACGCGAGCUGGGUUUAGAACGUCGUGAGACAGUUCGGUCCCUAUCUGCCGUGGGCGCUGGAGAACUGAGGGGGGCUGCUCCUAGUACGAGAGGACCGGAGUGGACGCAUCACUGGUGUUCGGGUUGUCAUGCCAAUGGCACUGCCCGGUAGCUAAAUGCGGAAGAGAUAAGUGCUGAAAGCAUCUAAGCACGAAACUUGCCCCGAGAUGAGUUCUCCCUGAGACUUAG
rnacentral:rRNA from 1 species